UACGAAGGGGGGCUAGCGUUGUUCGGAAUUACUGGGCGUAAAGCGCACGUAGGCGGAUUUGUAAGUCAGGGGUGAAAUCCCGGGGCUCAACCUCGGAACUGCCUUUGAUACUGCAAGUCUCGAGUCCGAUAGAGGUGAGUGGAAUUCCUAGUGUAGAGGUGAAAUUCGUAGAUAUUAGGAAGAACACCAGUGGCGAAGGCGGCUCACUGGUCCGGU
rnacentral:rRNA from 1 species